GCAGUCGAGCGGACAGAUGGGAGCUUGCUCCCUGAUGUUAGCGGCGGACGGGUGAGUAACACGUGGGUAACCUGCCUGUAAGACUGGGAUAACUCCGGGAAACCGGGGCUAAUACCGGAUGGUUGUUUGAACCGCAUGGUUCAGACAUAAAAGGUGGCUUCGGCUACCACUUACAGAUGGACCCGCGGCGCAUUAGCUAGUUGGUGAGGUAACGGCUCACCAAGGCGACGAUGCGUAGCCGACCUGAGAGGGUGAUCGGCCACACUGGGACUGAGACACGGCCCAGACUCCUACGGGAGGCAGCAGUAGGGAAUCUUCCGCAAUGGACGAAAGUCUGACGGAGCAACGCCGCGUGAGUGAUGAAGGUUUUCGGAUCGUAAAGCUCUGUUGUUAGGGAAGAACAAGUGCCGUUCAAAUAGGGCGGCACCUUGACGGUACCUAACCAGAAAGCCACGGCUAACUACGUGCCAGCAGCCGCGGUAAUACGUAGGUGGCAAGCGUUGUCCGGAAUUAUUGGGCGUAAAGGGCUCGCAGGCGGUUUCUUAAGUCUGAUGUGAAAGCCCCCGGCUCAACCGGGGAGGGUCAUUGGAAACUGGGGAACUUGAGUGCAGAAGAGGAGAGUGGAAUUCCACGUGUAGCGGUGAAAUGCGUAGAGAUGUGGAGGAACACCAGUGGCGAAGGCGACUCUCUGGUCUGUAACUGACGCUGAGGAGCGAAAGCGUGGGGAGCGAACAGGAUUAGAUACCCUGGUAGUCCACGCCGUAACGAUGAGUGCUAAGUGUUAGGGGUUUCCGCCCCUUAGUGCUGCAGCUAA
rnacentral:rRNA from 1 species